rnacentral:rRNA from 1 species
UAAAGGCGGGGAUCUUCGGACCUGCCGCUCAGAGAGGAGCCCGCGUCCGAUUAGCUAGUUGGUGAGGUAACGGCUCACCAAGGCGACGAUCGGUAGUCGGCCUGAGAGGGUGACCGGCCACACUGGGACUGAGACACUGCCCAGACUCCUACGGGAGGCUGCAGUCGAGGACCAUUUGCAAUGCGCGAAAGCGUGACAAUGCGACGCUGCGUGGAGGACGAAGGCCUUCGGGUUGUACACUCCUGUCAUGCGGGAACAAUACCCCGCCGUUAAUAGCGGCGGGAUUGAUGGUACCGCAAGAGGAAGCGACGGCUAACUUCGUGCCAGCAGCCGCGGUAAUACGAAGGUCGCUAGCGUUGUUCGGAUUUACUGGGCGUAAAAGGGUGCGCAGGUGGUGCCGUGUGUCGGACGUGAAAUCCCGGGGCUCAACCCCCGGAACUGCAUCCGAAAACUGCGGCACUCGAGUACAGGAUGGGAGAGCGGAAUUCAAGGUGUAGCGGUGAAAUGCGUUGAUAUCUUGAAGAACACCGGUGGCGAAGGCGGCUCUCUGGAAUGUUACUGACACUGAGGCACGAAAGCGUAGGGAGCAAACAGGAUUAGAUACCCUGGUAGUCUACGCCGUAAACGUUGCGUACUUGGCGUGGGAGGAAUUAACCCCUUCCGUGCCGGAGCUAACGCGUUAAGUACGCCGCCUGGGGAGUACGGCCGCAAGGUUAAAACUCAAAGAAAUUGACGGGGGCCCGCACGAGCGGAGGAGCAUGUGGCUUAAUUCGAUGCAACGCGAAGAACCUUACCAGGGCUUGACAUGGUACUGCACGCCCCGUGAAAGCGGGGAAGCCUUCGAGGGUGUACCACAGGUGCUGCAUGGCUGUCGUCAGUUCGUGCCGUGAGGUGUUUGGUUAAGUCCAGCAACGAACGCAACCCCUAUGUUUAGUUGCCACCGGUGGUGAUGAGCCACCGAGCACUCUAGACAGACUGCCCGUACAAGCGGGAGGAAGGUGGGGAUGACGUCAAGUCAGUAUGGCCCUUACGUCCUGGGCUGCACACGUGCUACAAUGGUCGAUACAGUGGGCUGCAAUACCGCAAGGUGGAGCAAAUCCUCAAAGUCGGCCUCAGUUCGGAUUGGAGUCUGAAAUUCGACUCCAUGAAGUCGGAUUCGCUAGUAAUGCCGUAUCAGCUACGACGGCGUGAAUACGUUCCCGGGCCUUGUACACAC